GAUGAACGCUGGCGGCGUGCCUAAUACAUGCAAGUCGAGCGAACAGACGAGGAGCUUGCUCCUCUGACGUUAGCGGCGGACGGGUGAGUAACACGUGGAUAACCUACCUAUAAGACUGGGAUAACUUCGGGAAACCGGAGCUAAUACCGGAUAAUAUAUUGAACCGCAUGGUUCAAUAGUGAAAGACGGUUUUGCUGUCACUUAUAGAUGGAUCCGCGCCGCAUUAGCUAGUUGGUAAGGUAACGGCUUACCAAGGCAACGAUGCGUAGCCGACCUGAGAGGGUGAUCGGCCACACUGGAACUGAGACACGGUCCAGACUCCUACGGGAGGCAGCAGUAGGGAAUCUUCCGCAAUGGGCGAAGGCUUGACGGAGCAACGCCGCGUGAGUGAUGAAGGUCUUCGGAUCGUAAAGCUCUGUUAUUAGGGAAGAACAAAUGUGUAAGUAACUAUGCACGUCUUGACGGUACCUAAUCAGAAAGCCACGGCUAACUACGUG
rnacentral:rRNA from 1 species